GAUGAACGCUGGCGGCGUGCUUAACACAUGCAAGUCGAGCGAGAAGUUUUGAAAAGAUUCUUCGGAUGAAAUUUAAAAUGGAAAGCGGCGGACGGGUGAGUAACGCGUAGGCAACCUGCCCCAUACAAAGGGAUGGCAUUUGGAAACGAAUAUUAAUACCUUAUGAAACUUAACUAGUGCAUGCUAGGUAGGUCAAAGAUUUAUCGGUAUGGGAUGGGCCUGCGUCUGAUUAGCUAGUUGGUGAGGUAACGGCUCACCAAGGCGACGAUCAGUAGCCGACCUGAGAGGGUGAACGGCCACAUUGGAACUGAGACACGGUCCAAACUCCUACGGGAGGCAGCAGUGGGGAAUAUUGCACAAUGGGGGAAACCCUGAUGCAGCAACGCCGCGUGAACGAUGAAGGCCUUUGGGUCGUAAAGUUCUGUUCUAGGUGAUGAAAACUGACAGUAACCUAGGAGAAAGCCCCGGCUAACUCCGUG
rnacentral:rRNA from 1 species